UCCAGCCUUUCCGAGGUGAUUCUAUGGAGCAGUUAUAUCGAUGGAAACGACAGCCGCCACCCUAAGAAGAAGCAACGUGGGGCUUACAGGCGGGGGUUUGUGUUUAAUCGGCUAAAAGAAGAAACAGAUGAUGCAGCAGACUGCCAAGGAGACGUCUGUCUACCCAUGCAGAUGAAUGAGAAAACUUCCUUUAGGAAAGGGGAACGCCGAACAUGAAAAGCGACAAUCCAGGUGGAGAAUCUACCCUCAGUUAUUUGUUGAAAAACUCACCAUGCCACAAAAUGGUGCCAAAGUGCCUCGCUUAUCGGAAAACAAGUCAAUAUUGUUGAACUGACAUGUCAUCCGAGAGAAUCAGAUCUUUGUCGGGACGGAGUUCCGUUUUGCAUGGUCUGCUAGGUGCG